UCAAGAGUGGCUUAGAGGGUAAAGCAUCUGCCUGCAAUGCAGGAGACCUGGGUUCGAUCCCUGGGUUGGGAA
rnacentral:tRNA from 1 species